CAUGCUUUCAGAUUUAGACGCUUGACGAACUAUUAAAUUGGUUUCACGCUAGGCAUUCUCAGUGGCUAUAUAUUUACGUAUUUUGGCCUGCAUGCAAUUUGAGUAUUGAUGUGAUGUCUAAUAAUAUAUAACUACUAGGUUACGGUGACCUAGGGAAUAUGAAGAUGACAUCCUUUAGUCUUUGUAUCUUCUAUUUCUUCAUGGGACUAAAGAUUAUGAUGACCAAUUUGACGUUACUCUUUGUUUUUCUUGUUUUGCCAUUUAUUUCUAUUACUAUUUUUAGUCAUUUGUUUCAAUUGUGUCUGUUUCUCUAUUCUUCUGAUGUCUCUGACAAUUUCUUCUUUAUUUUCACUCAAAUAACUUCUCAUAACAUUGUUAGGUGCUCCCAAGUUGAUGGCAAUGGGGCUUAGACCAAGAGAACUAUUCUUCAUGAUCUCUACGAGAAGGAAUGGCAGAAUCCUUGGUACGAUAAUAUCUACGUCCUUAUCAUAGAUUAGUUGCCUCUGAUUGCAAGUGGGGAUAGAGGAGUCACCACCAAUCCAAUGAACUUGUAAAAGUAGGGAAAGACAUUGAAGCUGCAUAUUGGGAACUUGUGAUCAAGGACAUUCAAGAUGCAUACAAGCAUCUGUACCAAUGUGAUUACAUCUCGCCUUGGUUAUCACUACACAAUUCUUACCCGUCUUUCUUUUUUGCCUCCCCACAUGAGCUCAAGCAGCCAACCAGCUGCAACACAAACCUACUGGAGGGGUAAGGUUGAAAUGAGGUUUAGGAAUUUCAGCAAACAAGUUCAUCGAUUGAACUCCUCUAUGAGCUUGAACUCAUAUUUAGGAGAGUCAAGAUACCAACAACCCCAUAUGGAAGAGUAAUGAACCUUUUCUUCAUCACAGACCCCAGGUUUUUCAUUCCUUACACGUUUCCCCCACACUAUAAUUAGCUAAUCCUGAGUACCGAGAAGAAAUCUGUUACUCAUCUAUCAAAAUUUUCAUUUGUAGAAGGAAUUAAUGCUUCCAUUUUCAUGCUUGUCUGUUUAUUUUAUUUUAUUUUUUAUUUGAUUUUAUGGUCAAGAGUUUGGACGGAUGGGAAGUGGUCCUACAUCGUGAUACGGGUCAUCGAAAAUCCUUGGACAAUCUGGUAUUUAUUUAAUAGAGAUGGGUGAUGGCAUGCCCUUCAUGUA